rnacentral:rRNA from 1 species
GAUGAACGCUAGCGGCAGGCCUAAUACAUGCAAGUCGAACGGUGUCUUCGGACAUAGUGGCGCACGGGUGCGUAACACGUAUGCAACCUACCUUACAUUGGGGGAUAGCCUUUCGAAAGGGAGAUUAAUACCGCAUAAGACAGUAGCUGGGCAUCCAGCAGCUGUUAAAGAUUUAUCGAUGUAAGCUGGGCAUGCGUCCAAUUAGGUAGUUGGUGAGGUAACGGCUCACCAAGGAAAUGAUUGGUAGGGGAACUGAGAGGUCAAUCCCCCACACUGGCACUGAGAUACGGGCCAGACGCCUACGGGAGGCAGCAGUAGGGAAUAUUGGGCAAUGGACGCAAGUCUGACCCAGCCAUGCCGCGUGCAGGAUGAAGGCGUUAUGCGUUGUAAACUGCUUUUAUACAGGAAGAAACGACUCUUGCGAGAGGCAUUGACGGUACUGUAUGAAUAAGCGCCGGCUAACUCCGUGCCAGCAGCCGCCGUAACAC